UCGUCUGUAAUGAAUGACGAAAAGUCGAACAACAAACACGUUACGUUAUUAGUGUUCUUCUUUAACUUCUGUUCGUUUUUUUUAAAAGAAUAUUCAACUACAAAUUUAAUACAGGUCAAAAACAAUAAUAGGUUAGUCACAGUUUUGUGAAGUUACUAUUGAUCUUGCUAGGCGGACAUGCUUUAUUUAUUCUGACUGAACAUGAUUUUUUCUACAAAUAUUGCAUUGACAGACAAUGUUUUCUGUCAUAGAGAAAGCUACGGGAACAUAAUCAAGGCCAUGGGUAAUCUUCAGAUUUUUUGCUGCAACUUUGGGGAAGGAAGUCACACGAAAAGAUUCAGGGCACGUACCAGCAUGUGUUGUAUUUUUCUAGAUGUUUUACUCAAGCAGUAUAUUCAACAUGACUGUUUGAUGCCAAAGUUAGUCGGAACUCUAACACCGAUAACCGUCGCUGCUGCUGCCUUACAGCCACAGACAGGAAAAUUGUUCUUUUCUUCAGAAAAUUGUGGCUUAAAUGGAUUGUCCCCCAGCCACCAGGUGACGCGAGUGUCUUUGUGAGGACGAAAUAUUUGCCAUUUGUUCCCGAGACGCUGACUGAAAGUGUAUUCCAAAUCCAUUACGGAAUUGCGGUGUCGAUCUACAUUUUCAGCCAUGAAAUGGCUAUCUGGGAUAUAAUUUCACUUGGCCAUUAAUAAUGUGACGACUUGGGUCGAAACUGCUGUCCAAUGUCGGCCAUUGUUAGCUGUACGUCUUGGCUGUACGUCUCAUCUUGUGCAGAAACACUUCAGACCUAUUGAUGUUAAGGUUGGAGAUAGAGAUCCCUUUGCUCAACUGUUGCAGAAAUUGAGAACACGACAAAGUCUGAGCUUCAUGACUGUUGUAUCAUCAACAUGGUUUUCUUGCAGCCAGCUGGUGAAAUAUGCGAUCAAGUCAAGUUGAGCUGCAGCUGCUGCAUGCAGUUUAUCGAGCUGGUGUUAUCCCAAGUGUCACUGAAGGAAGACUCAUUGAAUUGGAGUUAAUGGUCAAUUGGAUGUUUGAGCUGUUUAUGGUGUUGCUGUUUGGUGUACAGUGGUUUUGCAGCCCCCUUCCAAUUGAGAGAUGCUCUGAAAUGGAGUUUGGUGCAGACUUGCAGGUCAACAUCACACUUAAAUCGACUUAAAUGUGGAUUUGCCUAUGUUGGUGUCCAUGCAGUAUAUGCAGUGUUGAACGGUUGGGUAAAAUAGUUCAUGCUGCCUGAUGGCUGUCCAACAGUGACGGCCCGGACAAUCCUGAAUCCUUAAGGGUUGCCAUUCCAUCGAGGCUUAAACGAGGAUGAUGCGGAGGUGUUGCUCAUUGAGGGGUUUUGGUGACAAGGAGUCACUGAACGAAACGCUAAACCAAAUGAAAAAAAAAAUAAUAAAAAAGCCAACGAUCCUUUAUAUAUCCGAGCCGAGUCUUUUCCGUCUACAUUCGGUGUGAAGAGCGAAACCCAAAUUUCAACACAUUUUACUGCUUAGCAACGAAAACAAAGCGAGUGUCAAAACAUUGUUUUACUUGCGCAUACUUUAUUGGGGCAGAAACGCGUUGGUCAUGUAACAGGGUGGAUUUUUUUUUCACUUCUGUUCAUGCAGCAUCAAACGACACGCGAUAGGUUCUGGCGGUAAUCAACUAUUCAAAAUGUAGACAUGUCAAUGUAAAAGACAGGGUAAGAGUAGCCUUAUUCAUUUAUGUCAAAUAGCUGCUAGUAGGAUCUCAUUGUUGAUUUGCGGUUACAAAAUCCAUAGCCCUAGAGUUCAGGUAUUGUCAAUCAAUCAUUUGAUUUGCGUUUUAGAUGCUCCUAAAUCAGCUGUGGAAAUACGAUUCCCCCCGCUUCUCCUGGAUGGUUACUUAGGAUCAUUUAAGUUCAUUUUUGAGUUAUUCGUUGUGAACGUAGCGGACGAACUCUGACAGUCUAUCGAGCUUUAGCAAUUGCGUCUAUUUCUUAUUUUAUUGAUUAUAUUCAACCGUUUUAUGAGAAUUUUUGAUUUGUAUUUUUUUAUAUUCAUAAUUU
rnacentral:lncRNA from 1 species